rnacentral:tRNA from 1 species
UUAACUAAAUCCAAAAUAGAGGAAAAUUAUUGUUAAUAAUUAUAAUGAUUUAUAAUAAUCUAGUUAAU